rnacentral:rRNA from 1 species
AUUGAACGCUGGCGGCAGGCCUAACACAUGCAAGUCGAGCGAGCGGCGGACGGGUGAGUAAUAUAUAGCUAAUAUGCCCCUUGCUGGAGGACAACAGAUAGAAAUGACUGCUAAUACUCCAUAGAAAGGGAUGAGACUAUAUCGUAUCAGCUAGUCGGUGGGGUAACGGCCUACCGAGGCUAUGACGAGUAACUGGGCUGAGAGGAUGAUCAGUCACAUUGGAACUGAGACACGGUCCAAACUCCUACGGGAGGCAGCAGUAGGGAAUAUUGCGCAAUGGGGGAAACCCUGACGCAUCAACGCCGCGUGGAGGAUGACACUUUUCGGAGCGUAAACUCCUUUUGUUAGGGAAGCGGUACCUAACGAAUAAGCACCGGCUAACUCCGUGCCAGCAGCCGCGGUAAUAC